UGGGGAAUCAUGGUCAAUGGGCGAAAGCCUGAACCUGCGACGCCGCGUGAGUGAUGAAGGUCGUAAGAUCGUAAAACUCUUUUCAGGGAUCUUAAAGCACAACCGUCAACAACGGCUGUGUGUGACUCUCCCUGGAAGAAGCCCCAGCCAACUACGUGCCAGCAGCUGCGGUCAUACGUAGGGGGCGAGCGUUAUUCGGAAUUACUGGGUGUAGAGGGUAUGUAGGCGGCCCUUCAAGUCGCGUGUCAAAUUCCAGGGCUCAA
rnacentral:rRNA from 1 species